CAACCCUCGGGCCCACCCCUCGCGGGGAACGGGCCCGGCGUUGGGGACCGGAGGCCGCCCCGGCGGCACCCGCCCCCUAAAUUCAGUGGCGGUCGCGCCGCAGCCUCCCCUGCGUAGUAGCACACCUCGCACCGGAGAGCGGCACGGCCACGCCUCGAAACCCCCCAAUUUUUCA
rnacentral:misc_RNA from 2 species